rnacentral:rRNA from 1 species
CCUACGGGAGGCAGCAGUGGGGAAUUUUCCGCAAUAGGCGAAAGCCUGACGGAGCAACGCCGCGUGAGGGAUGAAGGCCUCUGGGCUGUAAACCUCUUUUCUCAAGGAAGAAGAUCUGACGGUACUUGAGGAAUAAGCCACGGCUAAUUCCGUGCCAGCAGCCGCGGUAAUACGGGAGUGGCAAGCGUUAUCCGGAAUUAUUGGGCGUAAAGCGUCCGCAGGCGGCCCUUCAAGUCUGCUGUUAAAACGUGGAGCUUAACUCCAUCAUGGCAGUGGAAACUGUUGGGCUCGAGUGUGGUAGGGGCAGAGGGAAUUCCCGGUGUAGCGGUGAAAUGCGUAGAUAUCGGGAAGAACACCAGUGGCGAAGGCGCUCUGCUGGGCCAUAACUGACGCUCAUGGACGAAAGCCAGGGGAGCGAAAGGGAUUAGAUACCCCUGUAGUCCUGGCCGUAAACGAUGAACACUAGGUGUCGGGGGAAUCGACCCCCUCGGUGUCGUAGCCAACGCGUUAAGUGUUCCGCCUGGGGAGUACGCACGCAAGUGUGAAACUCAAAGGAAUUGACGG